AGAGUCAUAGCGCCCUACGGCUGGAAGGAGUCUUCUGCUUUUGGAGGGAGGCGGAAUGAUGGAGUCCUGGGCAAUCCUUCCAGACCUGGAGUCUCCACUUAGUCGGAACAAUGGGUCUUCGUGGGCAGCCCGUCCCUCCCGUGGAGCGCGUGGCCGAGGAGGGGUCCGAGGAAGGGCUGUAGGUGAAAAUCCAUCGUUAGGAGGAGGCGCAUCCGAGGAAGGGCUCCUGGGCUCCUGAGGACCCCGGAGCCUCCCUCCAUCUGCUCUCUCCUCCGCACUCCCAGGCGUCUCUAACCUGCAGGCCUCCUGGGGGACGACGUGUUUGCUUUGGCCCAUAAAUCAGUCCCACGGAUCACUUCGGGAAUCGUUAGGCUUUAUCAUGACGCGUUGCCACCUUUGAGGGAAUAAUUGCCCAGUUUGGCCAACUUGGGACCUGCUUCCUUCAUCUUAAUUUCCUCUCUGGGGAUGCCCUAAUUAGUAUUUACUUUCACUUAAAAGAGAGAAAUUUCUUCUGAUGCAAUCAACAGUUUCCCUUGCGUGCCAAGCUUGUUUUAUGAUAUUAAGCAUUUAAAUAAAAAAUUAUAAACGUACCGUGAAAUGCUGAUGGGG
rnacentral:lncRNA from 1 species